rnacentral:misc_RNA from 1 species
UCGUAACAAGGUCUCCGUUGGUGAACCAGCGGAGGGAUCAUUACCGAGUUAUCCAACUCCCAACCCCUGUGAAUUAUACCUUUAAUUGUUGCUUCGGCGGGACUUCGCGCCCGCCGGGGACCCAAACCUUCUGAAUUUUUUAAUAAGUAUCUUCUGAGUGGUUAAAAAAAUGAAUCAAAACUUUCAACAACGGAUCUCUUGGUUCUGGCAUCGAUGAAGAACGCAGCGAAAUGCGAUAAGUAAUGUGAAUUGCAGAAUUCAGUGAAUCAUCGAAUCUUUGAACGCACAUUGCGCCCGUCAGUAUUCUGGCGGGCAUGCCUGUUCGAGCGUCAUUACGCCCCUCAAGUCCCCUGUGGACUUGGUGUUGGGGAUCGGCGAGGCUGGUUUUCCAGCACAGCCGUCCCUUAAAUUAAUUGGCGGUCUCGCCGUGGCCCUCCUCUGCGCAGUAGUAAAACACUCGCAACAGGAGCCCGGCGCGGUCCACUGCCGUAAAACCCCCCAACUUUUUAUAGUUGACCUCGAAUCAGGUAGGACUACCCGCUGAACUUAAGCAUAUCAAUAA